UCCGCUGUCGCGCAGGUGAGGGAGGCUAGGACUGGAGGUCGUGCUAGCCGUGCCGCCGCCUCCGCCUCCCCCUCCGCCUCCCCCCGGGGCUGAGCCGAUGAGAACCCUUCAGUCUGUGCCCACCUGUCUCAUCAGCCCCCCUGGGCCCAGCCUCCCAGAUUCAUCUACAGCCGCCUCUGUCGGUGCCGCUGCAAGUGCCGGUGUGCGAGGACACGCGUCGGCACCAGAACAGAAGUUCUGUCCAUCACGGUGCACACUGAGGUCAGCCGACCGCCCUGCUGGCCAGCUUCACCAGCGAGGAAGCACCAUGUCCUGGGGCGAGGGGUCGGGUGGCAGUCCGUGAAUUGACAGCCCACAGGUCAUACUUCAAGGGGGACACUGUCUCUGACGAGAUGACUCGGGGUCUUAGGAGGUUUGUAAACAGUCUCCUGUCCCUGCCUGAGUUCAGAACUACUUGAGAGACGUAGGAGCUGGACAGGUGGAGAUAAAGCUAUCAGCUUUCAUACUGAAAAGCUGAUUAGAAAGGAGGGCUGUGCAUCUGUGGCCAAAGGGACUGUGAGUUCAUCUCACCCGCCCUGAAGCAGGCCCCUCCUGAGGGCAGGAUGCUGGCUCUGCAGGUGGGCAAGCAGAAGAGGAGUGAUUCCAUCCGCCUCCCAGACACCACCAGUCAUUUCCUCUGGGAAAGGAGGAAAGGGAGCGAGGUGGGCUAAGAGACUAGAAGUGGACACAAGCCCGCAACCUGGAUUCCAUGCCUUUAAAGGGUCUGUGAAGUCCCUGAGAUUGAAUGGUGUGUGUGUGUGUGUGUGUGGUAUUUCUCUUUAAAAAAAAUUUUUUUUAAUGUUUAUUUAUUUUAGAGAGAUUGAGACAGAGUGUGAGCAGGAGAGGGCCAGAGAGAGGGAGACACAGAAUCGGAAGCAGGCUCCAGGCUCCGAGCCGUCAGCACAGAGCCCAAUGCGGGGCUCGAACCCACGAACCGCGAGAUCAUGACCCGAGCCGCAGUCGGACACUUAACCGACUGAGCCACCCAGGUGCCCCAUAUGUGGUAUUUUUCUAGAAAGCCUGCAGUAGAUGUUGUAGGUCCUUGACCAGAUAGAUCCCUGUGACCCACCCCCAAGGGCUGCCAUGAGCGUUCCUGUCUCCCCACUCCUUCGCUGAAUCCUCCUUGCCCUAAAGGGAGUUCCUGGCCUGAGAGACGACACCUGCCCCCCACCAGGGGAAAUUGACGGACUUGGAGGUACAGAGGCCACCUCUUGCCUCCAGAUGGCAACAGCUCUAGUGCAGUUCACGCUGCAGGGCAUCUCGGAGGUCAGGAGGAAGCUAUUCUCCAGCUGAGGCCACCUCUUGCUGAGCUUUUGUCCCCUGCCAAGCCUGCUUUCCUCACGCCCCUUCCUGGGGCGCUCCCUCCAUACAUUACUUGUACAAGAGCCCUUGUCUCAGCCUCGGCUUCCAGGAACUUGACAUGAUUCAGAGUUCAUGAGCUCUCAUCAGAUCCUGAAGGUGGUUUAUGAUCCUGCAGUGGGUCGAAUGGUGGCCCCGUGACAUCUGUGUCACCUUAUUUGGGAAAAGGGUCUUUGCAGAUGUAAUUAAGGAUCUUGAGAUGAGAUCAUCCCGGAUUAGCCAGGUGGACCCUAAAUCCAAUGACAAGUGUCCUUAAAGAGACAGGCAGAGGAGAGAGACACACAGGCGGAGGCUACACACAGAUGGAGGGAGGCCAUAGCAAGAGACCGUAGCAGUGUAGCCACAAAGCUGAGGAAAACCUGGAGCAGGAGCAGCUGGAAGAGGCCAGAAAGGAUCCUCCCUUAGCCUGAGUCUGGCCUCCAGCACCGUGAGAGAAUGCAUGUCUUGUUUCAAGCCCCCCAAUUUGUGAUAAUUCGUUUCAGCAGCCACAGGAAAUCAAUGCUUCCGAAAGGUUAAGAAUUCCAUAUAGUUGUGGAAAUGCCAGAAGUCCUUCCACGUGGAAAAACGACAGUGUGGCGUGGGGUGCUGGUUGUUACCCUGCCCCCCACCCGCAUCGGUCGCUUCCAGGGUCCCCAUCCCCAGGCCCUCUUGAAGGACCGAGCUUGUGGGGAGCCUGAACGUUGCUGAAAUGAAGGGGAGGGUAUCUGCCUUCUCGCAUCACCCCCUAGGCCGUGGAUCUGCCCCUUUGUUCUUCUUGCUCUAAGAGUGACUGUAAAGGCCUUUUUUUUUGUUUCCCUUGGGAUUUCCAGCAAACCAGAGCAUAGUCUUCCUGACAGUGUUUUUCAGGAUCGUGUCAUCUUCCAGGAUUCAUCUCUGAUUAUGCUUCCUUUCCUCUAUAUUUUGUUCAUCCUCUCAAAAAAAUUAGCUCAACAGGGAGCUCAUGCCGGCACACUGGACUCCUCUAUUACUUCUCUCUUUUUAUCUCCAUCAUGAUUAUUCAUGAUUGUAUAAUCAGGAUUUCUUUUUAAAGAAGCUCCUCACUUGAUAUUAGCUGACAGAACAAAAGGUUCUUGAUUAAAUGGUGGCUCUUUUCUGCCCACUGAAAGUCAAAAGCUAAUGAAAUACUUUGAUCAAAAUGAAUUUUGAUAUCCAUUCUAUGAGAAUAGCAAAAAAACUUCCAGAAGCAAUUGAAUGGCUGCAUGGACCGGUGCUUUCAGAGGUCAAGAACCAUCGUUCCGGAGGUCUGUUUCUAAACAAGGAACUGGAGAAGGUGAAUCUCACGCCCGUGCGGUGGGGUGUAAAUGACUCAUGCCAGGCGCCUGGUUCACGGGCGUCUCCCCUUCUCCACCUGGACCCUUGCACCAGCUUUCUAAUCGUCUCCCUGCGCCCAGGUUUGCAGUCCUCAAAUCCCAGGUCCACCAUCCUGCAAGAUAUACUACAACACUGAUACCCAUAUCCCCUUCCCUGCCCCCCCACUGUCUCCUGUAGGACAGAGGCCACACUCCCCAAGGGCAGGCCCAGGCCUUCCAGACGGACCCUGCCUCCUGCAUAGGCCGCCUUCCCGCACAGCGUGCUGCCCCCGCCCCACGCUCCUCACCUUUAUACCUCUGCACGCGUAGGGCCCCCGUCUGCAUGCCCUGCCUCUGCCCUGA